AAUUUUGGACACUGGGCGCAAGGCUGAUCCAGCCCUGCCGCGCGAGUGGGGAAAGCCUCCGGGUUUUAACGCCCUUUCGGACGGGGAGAAAUCGCGGAGGCCAAUACCCCGCGCGGAAGACGGUACCGCCAAAACAAGCACCGACUCCCUACGUGCCAGCGGCCGCGGUAAUACGUAGGGUGCGAGCGUUAAUCGGAAUUACUGGGAGUAAAGCGUGCGCAGGCGGUUGGUUAAGACAGGCGUGAAAUCCCCGGGCUUAACCUGGGACCUGCGCUUGUGACUGGUCAACUAGAGUACGGCAGAGGGGGGUGGAAUGCCACGUGUAGCAGUGAAAUGCGUAGAGAUGUGGAAGAACACCGAUGGCGAAGGCAGCCCCCUGAGCCGAUACUGACGCUCAUGCACGAAAGCGUGGGUAGCAAACAGG
rnacentral:rRNA from 1 species